CAGCAGUCGCCGCGGUAAUACGUAGGGUGCAAGCGUUAAUCGGAAUUACUGGGCGUAAAGCGUGCGCAGGCGGUUAUAUAAGACAGAUGUGAAAUCCCCGGGCUCAACCUGGGAACUGCAUUUGUGACUGUAUAGCUAGAGUACGGCAGAGGGGGAUGGAAUUCCGCGUGUAGCAGUGAAAUGCGUAGAUAUGCGGAGGAACACCGAUGGCGAAGGCAAUCCCCUGGGCCUGUACUGACGCUCAUGCACGAAAGCGUGGGGAGCAAACAGGAUUAGAUACCCCUGUAGUCCCUGUCUCUUAUAC
rnacentral:rRNA from 1 species